UCGAAAGCCUAUCUCAGUUCGGAUUGGAGGCUGAAACCCGCCUCCAUGAAGUUGGAUUCGCUGUAAUCGCGCAUCAGCCAUGGCGCGGUGAAUACGUUCCCGGGCCUUGUACACACCGCCCGUCAAGCCAUGGGAGCCGGGGGUGCCUGAAGUUCGUUACCGCAAGGAUCGACCUAGGGCAAAACUGGUGACUGGGGCUAAGUCGUAACAAGGUAGC
rnacentral:rRNA from 1 species